GACGAACGCUGGCGGCGUGCUUAAUACAUGCAAGUCGAACGGACAGGCCCUGCUUUUGCUGGGUGCACGAUUGGCGAAGGGGUGAGUAAGACGGGGGUAACCGGCCCUUAACUUUGGGAUAACUUCGGGUAACUGGGGCUAAUACCGGAUAGGAGCUCCUGCUGCAUGUUGGUGGAUGGUAAGUUACGGCAGUUGGGGAUGGACUCGCGGCUUAUCAGCCUGUUGGUGUGGUAGUGACUUACCAAGGCUACGACGGGUAGACGGCCUGAGAGGGUGACCGGCCACAUUGGGACUGGGAUGCGGCCCAGAGGCAUACGGGAGGAAGGAGUGAAAAAUAUUGGACGAAGGGCGGAGGCCUGAAGCAUGGACGCCGCGUGCGAAAUGACGGUCUUCGGGUAGUAAACCUCUUUCACCUGUGACGAAACGUGAGUGACGGAAAUGAGUAGAGAAGCACCGGCAAAUUACGU
rnacentral:rRNA from 1 species